rnacentral:rRNA from 1 species
GAUGAACGCUGGCGGCGUGCCUAAUACAUGCAAGUCGAGCGAACAGAUGAGGAGCUUGCUCCUCUGACGUUAGCGGCGGACGGGUGAGUAACACGUGGAUAACCUACCUAUAAGACUGGGAUAACUUCGGGAAACCGGAGCUAAUACCGGAUAAUAUAUUGAACCGCAUGGUUCAAUAGUGAAAGACGGUUUUGCUGUCACUUAUAGAUGGUUCCGCGCCGCAUUAGCUAGUUGGUAAGGUAACGGCUUACCAAGGCAACGAUGCGUAGCCGACCUGAGAGGGUGAUCGGCCACACUGGAACUGAGACACGGUCCAGACUCCUACGGGAGGCAGCAGUAGGGAAUCUUCCGAAAUGGGCGAAAGCUUGACGGAGCAAAGCCGCGUGAGUGAUGAAGGUCUUCGGAUCGUAAAACUCUGUUAUUAGGGAAGAACAAAUGUGUAAGUAACUAUGCACGUCUUGACGGUAACUAAUCAGAAAGCCACGGCUAACUACGUG